CCUGAUGCAGCCAUGCCGCGUGUGUGAAGAAGGCCUUCGGGUUGUAAAGCACUUUCAGUCGUGAGGAAGGUAGUGUAGUUAACACCUGCACUAUUUGACGUUACCUACAGAAGAAGCACCGGCUAACUCCGUGCCAGCAGCCGCGGUAAUACGGAGGGUGCGAGCGUUAAUCGGAAUUACUGGGCGUAAAGCGCAUGCAGGCGGCCUGUUAAGUCAGAUGUGAAAGACCCGGGGCUUAACCUCGGAAUUGCAUUUGAAACUGGCAGGCUAGAGUCUUGUAGAGGGGGGUAGGAAUUUCAGGUGUAGCGGUGAAAUGCGUAGAGAUCUGAAGGAAUACCAGUGGCGAAGGCGGCCCCCUGGACAAAGACUGACGCUCAGAUGCGAAAGCGUGGGGAGCAAACAGGAUUAGAUACCCCUGGUAG
rnacentral:rRNA from 1 species